rnacentral:lncRNA from 10 species
CUGAGGCACGAGAAUCACUUGAACCUGGGAGGCAGAGGUUGCAGUGACCCGAUAUCGUGCCCCUGCACUCCAGCCUGGGUAACAGAGCAAGACUGUCUCAAAAAAAAUAAAAAAACAACAACAAAAAAAGAUGUUUUGCUAAAAUAGAUGACAUCAGAUAAUUUAAUAACAUCAAUAUAAGAAAAAAUAUAUAUUAUUUGCAUAAUGGAAUAAAAAGGUAUCAGAAAUUAUUGGCAAUAAUAAGAUGUGCGCA